GAUGAACGCUGGCGGCGUGCCUAAUACAUGCAAGUCGGGCGAACAGAUAAGGAGCUUGCUCCUUUGACGUUAGCGGCGGACGGGUGAGUAACACGUGGAUAACCUACCUAUAAGACUGGGAUAACUUCGGGAAACCGGAGCUAAUACCGGAUAACAUAUUGAACCGCAUGGUUCAAUAGUGAAAGGCGGCUUUGCUGUCACUUAUAGAUGGAUCCGCGCCGUAUUAGCUAGUUGGUAAGGUAACGGCUUACCAAGGCAACGAUGCGUAGCCGACCUGAGAGGGUGAUCGGCCACACUGGAACUGAGACACGGUCCAGACACCUACGGGAGGCAGCAGUAGGGAAUCUUCCGCAAUGGGCGAAAGCCUGACGGAGCAACGCCGCGUGAGUGAUGAAGGUCUUCGGAUCGUAAAACUCUGUUAUCAGGGAAGAACAAAUGUGUAAGUAACUGUGCACAUCUUGACGGUACCUGAUCAGAAAGCCACGGCUAACUACGUG
rnacentral:rRNA from 1 species